GAUGAACGCUGGCGGCGUGCCUAAUACAUGCAAGUCGAGCGAACGGACGAGGAGCUUGCUUCUCUGAUGUUAGCGGCGGACGGGUGAGUAACACGUGGAUAACCUACCUAUAAGACUGGGAUAACUUCGGGAAACCGGAGCUAAUACCGGAUAAUAUUUUGCACCGCAUGGUUCAAAAGUGAAAGACGGUCUUGCUGUCACUUAUAGAUGGAUCCGCGCUGCAUUAGCUAGUUGGUAAGGUAACGGCUUACCAAGGCAACGAUGCAUAGCCGACCUGAGAGGGUGAUCGGCCACACUGGAGCUGAGACACGGUCCAGACUACUACGGGAGGCAGCAGUAGGGAAUCUUCCGCAAUGGGCGAAAGCCUGACGGAGCAACGCCGCGUGAGUGAUGAAGGUCUUCGGAGCGUAAAACUCUGUUAUUAGGGAAGAACAUAUGUGUAAGUAACUGUGCACAUCUUGACGGUACCUAAUCAGAAAGCCACGGCUAACUACGUG
rnacentral:rRNA from 1 species